UCCCUGGUGGCUCAGAGGGUAAAGCGUCUGCCUGCAAUGCAGGAGACCUGGGUUCGAUCCCUGGGUUAGGAA
rfam:Ovis aries breed Texel chromosome 14, whole genome shotgun sequence.